rnacentral:rRNA from 1 species
GGCUGCAGUCGAGGAUCUUCGGCAAUGGGCGCAAGCCUGACCGAGCGACGCCGCGUGUGGGAUGAAGGCCCUUGGGUUGUAAACCACUGUCAGGGGGGACGAAAUGCGCGCGGGUACUCCCGUGCGUUUGACAGAGCCCCAGAGGAAGCACGGGCUAAGUUCGUGCCAGCAGCCGCGGUAAUACGAACUGUGCAAACGUUAUUCGGAAUCACUGGGCUUAAAGGGUGCGUAGGCGGCUUAUUAAGCAGGGUGUGAAAGCCCCCGGCUCAACCGGGGAAUAGCGCUCUGAACUGAUGAGCUGGAGCGAGGCAGGGGUGCGCGGAACUUCCAGUGGAGCGGUGAAAUGUGUUGAUAUUGGAAGGAACACCGGAGGCGAAAGCGGCGCGCUGGGUCUUGUCUGACGCUGAGGCACGAAAGCCAGGGGAGCAAACGGGAUUAGAUACCCCGGUAGUCCUGGCCCUAAACGAUGCGCACUAGGUAGCGGCUCGUUCCGACGAGCCGCUGCCGGAGCAAAAGUUUUAAGUGCGCCGCCUGGGGAGUACGGCCGCAAGGUUAAAACUCAAAGGAAUUGACGGGGGCUCACACA